rnacentral:rRNA from 1 species
GACGAACGCUGGCGGCGUGCUUAACACAUGCAAGUCGAACGCUGAAGACCUGGCUUUUGUUGGGUUGGAUGAGUGGCGAACGGGUGAGUAACACGUGAGUAACCUGCCCUCUUCUUUGGGAUAACGCCCGGAAACGGGUGCUAAUACUGGAUAUUCACUGAUCUUCGCAUGGGGGUUGGUGGAAAGGUUUGUUCUGGUGGGGGAUGGGCUCGCGGCCUAUCAGCUUGUUGGUGGGGUGAUGGCCUACCAAGGCUUUGACGGGUAGCCGGCCUGAGAGGGUGACCGGUCACAUUGGGACUGAGAUACGGCCCAGACUCCUACGGGAGGCAGCAGUGGGGAAUAUUGCACAAUGGGCGAAAGCCUGAUGCAGCGACGCCGCGUGAGGGAUGGAGGCCUUCGGGUUGUAAACCUCUUUCGCUCAUGGUCAAGCCGCAACUGUGGGUUGUGGUAAGGGUAGUGGGUAAAGAAGCGCCGGCUAACUACGUG